GUUCGGUGGCUCUCCUUUAGCCAGCUCAAUGGCUGUGAUACCCAAUGACCAGAUGUCGGCCUAAAACAGGGAAGACAAAAAAAUGGGGGUGACGGACUCUAGAAGUUGUCCUUUUAUCAAGCAACAGAUUAACAAAUGCAGGAAGAUCUACCCAGUCAUCGCUCCACUGCUGAAGGUCCGGAGAUGUAUGGGAUAAAGAUGACUUGUACUGAC